UUUACAAAUGUCCGGUUCAACACGAGUUCAACUGAACUUGAGUUCAACUGAACUGAGGUUCAAUUCAUGCGUCCGUUUUACAAACACCGCUAUCGUCCGGUUCAGCUGAACCACAAAUUCCUUAGGUUGGUAGCGCGCACCCGAGAAUCUGACAGUUGAGACCACGUUGGGAGCACGUUGGAAGUGUGUUGUUGUUGUCAUCUAUGUCAUCAUGUCACAUUAUUAUAAAUUAUUUGUGACAAAUUCUGCAAAGUAAUUAGUUUUUUGCGUUACUGGGGUACGUAUAUGUGUAUAUGUAACAUUUGCUCGUUAAUAGUAGAUGAUUAUGAUGGUUUUUAACAUUUCGUUUCAGAUGAGUAAUACACGUGCUCCGAAUUUUACAAAAUCCGAAGAAAACUUGCUCCUAUCUUUAGUAAGCAAGUAUAGAAAUAUUCUGGAGUAUAAAUUGUCCAACACUGAUGCAAAUCAAAAAAAAAAAAAAUCAGUGUUGGAAGAAAAUUGAAGUAGAGUUCAAUUCUUUAUCUGGCCAGACCUUCCGGGAUCACAAAGUUUUGAACAAAAAGUACGACAACAUUAAGAAGAGGACAACGAAAAAAUUUGCUGACGAGAAAGCCUAUGUCGGUGGUACUGGGAGAGGGUCACAACAAAGUAUUGAGGCCACCGAUGUUGAUAUGGCUGUAAAAGAAAUUCUCGGGGCCAAACCAAUGGGGCAUAGCAGCGAAUUUGAUGGCGAUUCCGAAACAACCUCAUUCCAAAGUAACAGCGGUAUAAUCUGUCUGAUGACGAAAAUGAUGAUUGUUUUAUGCCAAAAGAUCAAACCGGAGCAAUUUCGAGAGAAGUGCCUGUUAUGGAUAAAAUAAAAAAUGGUCAAACUGGGAAUUGGGCUAAAUACUCCCCCAAAAUCUUGAAGCAAAAAAAAUUUUCAGCACUCACGCCAUAUCGUAGAGGUAAAGGAAACCAGACAAGUGAUAAUUUAGAGCAAUGUGCCGCUGCCAAAGAACUUGUCGAACUAAGUCGAAAGGAAUACAUCCAAAAGGAGCAAGAGUUUAAAUUAAAAGCCAUGAAAGAGAAACAUGAACUAGAAAUGCAAAUUAUGAGAGACAAAGCUGCACUUGAAUUAGAAGUAAUAAAGCAGAACACCAAAUGAAGAUUGAAAUAUUAAUUGCCCAAAAAUUUAAUAUUUUAAAUAAUAAAACUUAAAUAAAUAAUUACAUUACA